UAAUCCGCAGCUGGCGGGCGCCCGGCCGGUUGCCACGGCAACCCCUCUCCCAGGGCCCGGCCGCCGCGAGGAGCCACGGUAAACAGGACCUUCUGCCGGACUCGCCCCCUCGCCUUUUGGGGGUUGGGGGGGAGGGGGCUUAACCCUUUCUGUGCUGAAGACCACCGCGUGCCAUGCUCCAUUGCACCCAGGCCGGGCCUGGGUCCUGGACAUAGAUGCCACCGAGGCGGCGGCCACACUCCCUGCCCUGCUUUACUCCAGGCGCUGAACACACUUGAGGGACUGGGCUGAUGCCUGGGACACCCCAGGCAACGAGUCCGGCAUCACCCUGCCCCCACGCAGCUUGCGGUCUGGCAGGGUCAUGACAGUCAUAAGACAGGCGAUGAGAGUGAGGAGGGCUGGGAAGGGCCAGGCAGCCACGCACCCCGAAGAAGGGCUCCCAAACCGGGCAGGGCCGAGGUGGUCAGGAAGGGCUUCCAAGAGGAGAAAUGACUUCGUAGUGCCCGCUGCCCCACUCACACAGGACACACAAUUAGAUGGCAUGAUUUAGGACUGCCACAUGGAAGCCCCCUUGAAAACGCUGUGGGCUGCAGGGAAGGGAGUCGUGAAUACAGGCGAGGGCAUUGGAAGAAGUUCCCUGGAGCUUAGGUUGGGUGGAUGUGGAGUAGAUGUGGAGAGGUGGAGGGGAGGAAGGCGGUUCUGAGCCAAGGGAAGAGCCAUGAGCAGAGGGAAGGAGAGGUUAGGUACUUGCGGGACAGGAGAGUGGUGGUGAAUGGGGUCAGACGGGUAGGCCUGCCCUGGUUUCAAGAGGCCUUGGUAGGUUUUGGAUUUAAUGCUGAGGGCAAUGGGGGACCAUAGAACGUUCCGGAGCAGAGAAAUGCCCUGAUGAAAGGGAGAUGGGCCUUGUGGGUGUUGGGGGCAGGCUCCAAGCCAAUCUCUGUCCUGGAGGAAAGCCAUUCUUCUCUUUGGCUCAGGGACCUCCAGAAGGGCUGAGCUGUGCUCCUGGGACAGUGGAGAGGCCUAAAGCUUAGGCAAGGGGAAAAAAAGAGCAGAGAGGCUCAGCCUUCCAAAUCCACAGAAGAGGUGCGCACAAGAGAGAAAAAAGCGUCAUGUUGAAGAGCACAGUCCUGGAACAGGAUGGCCAAGUCCAGCUCUGGAGCAGUUUGCAUCGCCUCAGAAUCCCGGCAUCUCCAUCCGUAGGGAUCCAGUUGAACAUUAAGG